rnacentral:rRNA from 1 species
AGAGUUUGAUCCUGGCUCAGAUUGAACGCUGGCAGCAGGCCUAACACAUGCAAGUCGAGCGGUAGCACAGAGAGCUUGCUCUCGGGUGACGAGCGGCGGACGGGUGAGUAAUGUCUGGGAAACUGCCUGAUGGAGGGGGAUAACUACUGGAAACGGUAGCUAAUACCGCAUAAUGUCGCAAGACCAAAGUGGGGGACCUUCGGGCCUCAUGCCAUCAGAUGUGCCCAGAUGGGAUUAGCUAGUAGGUGGGGUAACGGCUCACCUAGGCGACGAUCCCUAGCUGGUCUGAGAGGAUGACCAGCCACACUGGAACUGAGACACGGUCCAGACUCCUACGGGAGGCAGCAGUGGGGAAUAUUGCACAAUGGGCGCAAGCCUGAUGCAGCCAUGCCGCGUGUGUGAAGAAGGCCUUCGGGUUGUAAAGCACUUUCAGCGGGGAGGAAGGCGGUGAGGUUAAUAACCUCAUCGAUUGACGUUACCCGCAGAAGAAGCACCGGCUAACUCCGUGCCAGCAGCCGCGGUAAUACGGAGGGUGCAAGCGUUAAUCGGAAUUACUGGGCGUAAAGCGCACGCAGGCGGUCUGUCAAGUCGGAUGUGAAAUCCCCGGGCUCAACCUGGGAACUGCAUUCGAAACUGGCAGGCUAGAGUCUUGUAGAGGGGGGUAGAAUUCCAGGUGUAGCGGUGAAAUGCGUAGAGAUCUGGAGGAAUACCGGUGGCGAAGGCGGCCCCCUGGACAAAGACUGACGCUCAGGUGCGAAAGCGUGGGGAGCAAACAGGAUUAGAUACCCUGGUAGUCCACGCCGUAAACGAUGUCGAUUUGGAGGUUGUGCCCUUGAGGCGUGGCUUCCGGAGCUAACGCGUUAAAUCGACCGCCUGGGGAGUACGGCCGCAAGGUUAAAACUCAAAUGAAUUGACGGGGGCCCGCACAAGCGGUGGAGCAUGUGGUUUAAUUCGAUGCAACGCGAAGAACCUUACCUGGUCUUGACAUCCACAGAACUUUCCAGAGAUGGAUUGGUGCCUUCGGGAACUGUGAGACAGGUGCUGCAUGGCUGUCGUCAGCUCGUGUUGUGAAAUGUUGGGUUAAGUCCCGCAACGAGCGCAACCCUUAUCCUUUGUUGCCAGCGGUUAGGCCGGGAACUCAAAGGAGACUGCCAGUGAUAAACUGGAGGAAGGUGGGGAUGACGUCAAGUCAUCAUGGCCCUUACGACCAGGGCUACACACGUGCUACAAUGGCAUAUACAAAGAGAAGCGACCUCGCGAGAGCAAGCGGACCUCAUAAAGUAUGUCGUAGUCCGGAUUGGAGUCUGCAACUCGACUCCAUGAAGUCGGAAUCGCUAGUAAUCGUAGAUCAGAAUGCUACGGUGAAUACGUUCCCGGGCCUUGCACACACCGCCCGUC